GGAUUUUUGAAUUACAGGUUAGCCUGGUCUACAUAGCAAGCUCCAGGCCAGCCAGGGCUACAUAGAGAGACCCUGUCUCAAAAUCAGUUGACCAUAAAUGUAUAGCUUUAUUUCAAGAGUCUAGAUCGCUGACUCAUGUAACAUUGAAAUCAGUUUUAUAUUUGACCAAUUUAAGCCAGCAGAGUGGUACACACUGUAAUCCCAGCACCCAGGAAUGUAAGGCAGGAGGAUUAUAAAUUUGAAGCCAAUCUAGACUUAUAGAGUGGGUUCCAGGCCCUCUUAGGCACCAUAACAAGACCCUGUCUCAAGAAAAAGAGAAGUUUGAUCAGUUUUAUCAUUUGGAAGGUUUUCUUGAGUUGGUGAGACAACUUGAUGGGGAAUAGAUCUGCUACACAAAAGCCCAAAUUUAGUCUUCAGAACCAUUGCCAGGAGAACCAACCCCCAAUGCUGUCCCCUGACUGCUGUCACAUGUCACAUCCCCAUCUUCCACAGUAAUAGAUACUACACACACACCCCUCUGGUUGUCCUGAAACUCAGAGAUCCCCAGAUAAUCUUAAGAAAAUAAACGAGCCUGGAGAGCUUGCUUAUCAGUUAAGAGCACUGGCUGCUCUUCCAGAGAACCUGAGUUCAAUUCCCAGCAACCACGUGGUGGCUCACAACCCUCUGUAACUCCAGUUUAGAUUUGAUGCCCUUUUCUGGUCCUCUGUUGUUAACAAUCGUGCAUGUAGUGCACAGAAAUAUAUGCAGGCAGAGUAUCAAUACACUAAAAAUAAAAUUGAAAAAAAAAAAAAAACAGCAUUACUUUCUUUUUAUGUGUGUGUACGGGAUCUUGCUAGGUACCCCUGGCUGCCCUGCAAUUAACUAUGUAGGCCAGGCUGGCCUCAAACUCAUGUUGCCAUUCUUCAGCCGCCUAAAUGACCCUGGCAACCUGAAUUUGGCAAGAGAGAAUUGGGUCCCACAAGAUGUCUUUUUUUGUUUGUUUGGUUUUUUGUUUUCGAGACAGGGUUUCUCUGUGUAGCCCUGACUACCUGACUAUCCUUGGAACUCACUCUGUAGACCAGGCUGGCCUCGAACUCAGAAAUCCACCUGCCUCUGCUUCCCAAGUCCUGGUUUUAAAGGUGUGUGCCACCACUGCCCGGCCCACAAGAUGUCUUAAUAUCUCACAGGUGGCAGAUGUGUACCUCACCCAGCAUGACCCAACUUUAAGGAAAGACCCCUUAUGCGACUGACAGAAGCAGCUACCGGUGAGAGGCUGCAAAACGCUGCGUGGUCUGUAUUUCCCAGUACUCUUAGGGUCGGCAGACAUUCCGGAAAGUGCCUUCACUGCCCUCUCUGUGGCCCCUCUGCCACGCUGGCUUUUAGCUGGCAGUUGUUACAGUGUCUAUGUUGGGAUUGUAUUUGGCCACAGCUACAGAAACCCCAGGCUUCUGUGCCCCUAGUUUUGUCCUUUGAGUCUGGAAAUUGGCCAAGGUGUGGCCACGUGAAGACCUCCUUGGACCUGUGCUGUCUGCCCCAUUCCACAUUGGGUGCCGCACAGGCUCCGCCCCAAGGGUGUGGCCUGUGUCUCUGCUCUUGGCCGGAAGUGGGAAGAGGCUCUAGAGAGAUGCUGCCCAGCAGAGGAGAACACUUCUGCCCUCCCAGGCCAUCCCAUAGGUGGCUUGCCCUUGGGACUGGCCAGAAGGGAGCUCAGAAAGAGCCGUGGUUCUACACCUAUCUUUUGUGUUGUGCUGUUGAGGACAAAGGCAAGACUGUGCAGAACUGGGUUUAUUUAUUUAAGUUUGAUUCAAAACAGUUGGCAGCUGACUGUUUCCAGGUUGGUUUUAUUUGUAAAUAUUUAUUUAUUUAUUUAUUUAUUGGUUGUUGUGUGAACGUUUUGCCUGCAUGAACGUCUAUACACCAUGCCAUUGCAGUGCCCAAAGAGACCAGAAGAGGGCAUCAGAUUCCCUGGAAUUGGAGUUCCAGACACUCCUGAGCCACUGUGAGGGUGCUGGAAACUGAACCUGUGUCCUCUGUUACCCUUUAUAACGCAGUAUAAUUUUGGCGGGGGGGGGGGGGGNUGGGGUGGAGUACCUCGGUGGGCCCACGCUGAGGCACCCCUUGAACAAUCAUACCAUAGAUAAGUCUAGUAUAAAGAAAGUUUAUUGGGGGAAGAGAAGACAUACAUGCAGACAAAACACCAUGAAAUAAAAUAAAUUAAAAAAAAAAAACCUUUGUCUUCCCUACCUUUUAUGUAAAUGCCAUAACACAAGCGCUCACACACACACAUGCACACGCAUGCCUGCCACCAUCAUUAAAACCCUUGUUUUCUCAAAGGUCACUGCUCCUGUCCAGGGAUUUGAUGUCCUGGAGCAAUGAUGUCUUUCCCUUCCUUAUUUCUUAAUUCCAGCGAGCUAAUUCUUCUCAGACUAGCCAACUGAAUAACACUGUGAGGUGGAGCCCAAAGAAUGAAGAAGAGGCACGGUUUUUACAUCAGUUAGAAUAAAAGCCAAGUGCACUUUGUCUUGUGUGCUUGCUUUUCUGAUCAACAAUAAACUUUGUCUUGUCC
rnacentral:lncRNA from 1 species